UAAUACGUAGGGUGCAAGCGUUAAUCGGAAUUACUGGGCGUAAAGCGUGCGCAGGCGGUUUUGUAAGUCUGUCGUGAAAUCCCCGGGCUCAACCUGGGAAUGGCGAUGGAGACUGCAAGGCUAGAAUCUGGCAGAGGGGGGUAGAAUUCCACGUGUAGCAGUGAAAUGCGUAGAGAUGUGGAGGAACACCGAUGGCGAAGGCAGCCCCCUGGGUCAAGAUUGACGCUCAUGCACGAAAGCGUGGGGAGCAAACAGGAUUAGAUACCCUGGUAGUCCACGCCCUAAACGAUGUCUACUAGUUGUCGGGUCUUAAUUGACUUGGUAACGCAGCUAACGCGUGAAGUAGACCGCCUGGGGAGUACGGUCGCAAGAUUA
rnacentral:rRNA from 1 species